rnacentral:sRNA from 1 species
GAUACCAGGGUCAAAAGGUCUUUACCCACAUGAGCUUGCUCAUAAGUGGGUAAAAGAACUUGAGACCCGCCAAAAUAUGAGCAUAAAAGUGGGAUGAUAGUCCCACGAUAUGCGAAUAUUUUGUAGGAUUGCGGGAGUACGAAGUACGAAGCAAUCCGUAGGGA